rnacentral:lncRNA from 1 species
GGCUCUAGUUUUGUCUUAUCUUGAUUAUUUUCCAGUCAUAUAGUCAAGUGCUGCAAAGAAAGACCUAGCUGCAGCUGGCCCAGAACAGAGCAGCACGUCUUGCUCUUCAUUGUAAUCAGAGGGCUGAUAUAAAUACUAUGCAUGCCAGUUGUUACAUCUGCUCCUGCUACGCCCUCUACUUCUCCCUAACCUGCCGCCACUCCCCCAGUGCUCUCUUCCUCUCUGUGCGUGUGUGAUUGUGUGGGCGGAGACAGGUGUGCUGCAACCUGUUCCAUAAUCAAGACCUCUACAAAUUCUGUCUGUCCUUGAGCUGUUCUUGUCUAUUAAUGUUCUGUAUUAUGUCAUGUUUCAUGUUCUGUGUAGACCCCAGGAAGAGUAGCUCCGGCUUUCGCAACAGCUAAUGGGGAUCCUAAUAAAAUACCAAAAAUACCAUGAUCAUUGUAAUCCCUCACCGAACACUCUGGUUUUUACCUUUCCAAACAUGUCUCUUUGUGGGCCUCCGUAUUUUAGAUUUGUCACGUUUGAGCAGGAAAAAUGUAUUUCAGUAAACACAAGGGGUAAAUAAUGCUGAAGUGUCACAUACUGUAGUUCCAGCAUUCACAGAGACAGGAGGUCUCUGCAUGAGGAGCAAACUUGCCAAGACAGCGAUGAAACAUACAAACACUAACCCCAGUGAAGAAUGUUCUUAUAACACUUCCAUUCUGCAGCUUAUCAUGUUCUAAUGACCGUUUACUGACCUCUAUUCAGGCUUUAGCAAUUGGCUCCCCAUGCCCACUGCUACUCCUCGGAUUGGCUGCUCACCAACUCCAUCGAUUACUGUGAAUGAGACCGAGCACUGCAGAACAUACACAGAUAUACAGGAUCCUGAACUGAGGAGAAAGUUACCCAAUAUUCUGGAAUUGGACUGAGGAGAAAGUUACCCAAUAUUCUGGAAUUGGACUGAGGAGAAAGUUACCCAAUAUUCUGGAAUUGGACUGAGGAGAAAGUUACCCAAUAUUCUGGAAUUUGACCUUUUUAAGAAUCAAAUGGACAGAGCAUGAGAUUCUCCACCACUGACUUUCUAUACUAUAGUUGGAAAAACUCAGUGAAUCCUGAAUCGUAACUUGUGAAAGAAGCCCACAACUUGAAUUCAUAAAUAUCUCCCAUAAUAAUAUUUGCGUUGUAUGCACGUCUCAAGUUGUAAGAUGUGUCCCUUAGAGUAAUAAUAGCACAAAGCCAAUAUACCCCACGUAUUCCAUCUUGUUUUGACUUUAUACAAACUAAAUAUGUAUAUUAUACAUGCUGUUUAUCUUUUAAUACAUCUUUUCCAAAUAUGUUUUGUUUCGGUUUGAUAUUCUGUUAUGAAAAUAUAAUGCUUUCUACAACCAUGGUACAUUUUGUCUCUUCUCUAUGGUCAAUGGUUUAUAGUCUAUGCUUUAAUGACAUGCAGAUGUGAAAUGAGACAACCCAUGUAUUAGUUAUAGGGUUCUAAUUAUCUUCCCUUCCCUAGAAAAGCAUUUAAAAGAGAAUUAUAUGUUAACAAUAAAACAGAGAAAUCCCCAAUGAGGUGCAAGGAGGCUUUAGAGCCAUUUAACAUCUUCUGUUUAUUUGAGUUCCUUUUGUAUUCUGACAUGAUCUCAGAGACAGGAUUGUUCUUUCUGAACUGCAGCCAAGAAACGG